rnacentral:rRNA from 1 species
UACGGGGGGGGCAAGCGUUGUUCGGAAUUACUGGGCGUAAAGGGUUCGUAGGUGGCCCGCUAAGUCAGACGUGAAAUCCCUCAGCUCAACUGGGGAACUGCGUCUGAGACUGGCGGGCUUGAGUGCAGGAGAGGAACGCGGAAUUCCAGGUGUAGCGGUGAAAUGCGUAGAUAUCAGGAGGAACACCGGUGGCGAAGGCGGGUCUCUGGGCCGAUACUGACGCUGAGGAGCGAAAGCGUGGGGAGCGAACAGGG